CUUGCUUCUCUUGAGAGCGGCGGACGGGUGAGUAAUGCCUAGGAAUCUGCCUGGUAGUGGGGGAUAACGUCCGGAAACGGACGCUAAUACCGCAUACGUCCUACGGGAGAAAGCAGGGGACCUUCGGGCCUUGCGCUAUCAGAUGAGCCUAGGUCGGAUUAGCUAGUUGGUGGGGUAAUGGCUCACCAAGGCGACGAUCCGUAACUGGUCUGAGAGGAUGAUCAGUCACACUGGAACUGAGACACGGUCCAGACUCCUACGGGAGGCAGCAGUGGGGAAUAUUGGACAAUGGGCGAAAGCCUGAUCCAGCCAUGCCGCGUGUGUGAAGAAGGUCUUCGGAUUGUAAAGCACUUUAAGUUGGGAGGAAGGGCAGUAAAUUAAUACUUUGCUGUUUUGACGUUACCGACAGAAUAAGCACCGGCUAACUCUGUGCCAGCAGCCGCGGUAAUACAGAGGGUGCAAGCGUUAAUCGGAAUUACUGGGCGUAAAGCGCGCGUAGGUGGUUCGUUAAGUUGGAUGUGAAAUCCCCCGGGCUCAACCUGGGAACUGCAUUCAAAACUGACGAGCUAGAGUAUGGGUAGAGGGUGGG
rnacentral:rRNA from 1 species